CUUCACUGGCCCCGCCCAGGCAUCUUCCUCUGCUCCUUUCUUCCACUUGGAACUCUUCCCGUUCCGGACGCCGGACCCAAAGUACUCAGUGCGGCACUGCCUCUUUCGUCUGACGCCCAGAUAUAUGCAGUAGACCAUGCCCGGGAAUAUAACACAGACCAGGAGACUGGCGAUGAUGAUCCAGAACAAGCUGAGCGGACUUCGCUUGACCCUGCCCACCGUAGAGUCAUGAUCUGUGGAGGAGGAGGUCGUAGCGGGGGUUGUGAAAUGGCUGGGAGCGCUGUUGACCGAUGGGGAGGCGGGUGCUUGGGCAGAAACUCAAAGAGGAAGUACCCGUGCUAAGGACUAUUCAACGCUGGUCUGACCAAUCAGAAUCUGGGAUAUGUUCCAGGUAGCCUCCGAGAACAACAUAGACAAAUAAAUACACUGAUACGGGGACUGGGAUUAUCAGGAAGUGUAUAGGAGAUGUUGUACACACUGUAACUAUUAAAACCUACCAUAACCAGAAACCGCAUUACCCCAAAACCAUCGCAUAUAACCAUGCAAGGUGAUUGGGAAUAUGGCUGAAUACAAACAGUGUAGUUAUUCCUUCACCGGGUGCCAAAGACGUGGAUGUCGAUUAAGGCAGCCCCCGCACCUCUCU
ensembl:lncRNA